rnacentral:ribozyme from 1 species
GAAAAUGAAAGAGUAAAAGAAACAACAAUAAAGAAGAGAAUGAGGAAUGAGUGAAAAUUAGGGAAAGAUUGUACAUAAUCAUAUUAUUCUACUUCCCUUCUUAUUUUAUUGAAGAUUAGACUCUUUCUAUUUCCUAUCUCUUCAAUCUUUUUGAGAA